CAAUCAGACGCCUUCCAGGUGAUCGCUUCAGCUAUAAAUUCAAGCGAACACUUUGCAGUUUUUCACUUGAAGAUCCAUUUAACAUUGUCAGCUCUAUUGUAGCAGUGAAAGCAUAUCUCGGUGCUAGCUCUACGGUCUCACAAAGCUUAAAAUCAUGAAAUGCAUGAUGCUGAUGUUAUUCUGCGCCUGCGCACUGCUAUUGGUGACGUCAUCUGAAGCUGGUUACCUCAAAUCUGACCCGUGCCUAGACACGUGCGCCGAGAUAGCAUGGGGGUGCUACGGAAGCUGUUUGCACUCUGCAUCUUCCUCCCCGCAACAGUGUAAAGCCGGCUGCCUAGACAAGCUGUUUAUGAUGUGCAUUCGCGACUGUCGACGAUAGUGGAAAACGCUAACCUUCACGAGUCUAUAUUGUACUUGACUGGAAGAAAUAAAUCAUUGUUGCUUUUUUUGAACAACAA